rnacentral:rRNA from 1 species
GACGAACGCUGGCGGCGUGCUUAACACAUGCAAGUCGAACGGAAAGGCCCUGCUUUUGUGGGGUGCUCGAGUGGCGAACGGGUGAGUAACACGUGAGUAACCUGCCCUUGACUUUGGGAUAACUUCAGGAAACUGGGGCUAAUACCGGAUAGGAGCUCCUGCUGCAUGGUGGGGGUUGGAAAGUUUCGGCGGUUGGGGAUGGACUCGCGGCUUAUCAGCUUGUUGGUGGGGUAGUGGCUUACCAAGGCUUUGACGGGUAGCCGGCCUGAGAGGGUGACCGGCCACAUUGGGACUGAGGGACGGCCCAGACUCCUACGGGAGGCAGCAGUGGGGAAUAUUGCACAAUGGGCGGAAGCCUGAUGAAGCAACGCCGCGUGCGGGAUGACGGCCUUCGGGUUGUAAACCGCUUUCGCCUGUGACGAAGCGUGAGUGACGGUAAUGGGUAAAGAAGCACCGGCUAACUACGUG